UACGGAAGGUCCGGGCGUUAUCCGGAUUUAUUGGGUUUAAAGGGUGCGUAGGCGGUUUUAUAAGUUAGAGGUGAAAUCUCGGGGCUCAACUCCGAAAUUGCCUCUAAUACUGUAGGACUAGAGAGUAGUUGCGGUAGGCGGAAUGCGUGGUGUAGCGGUGAAAUGCAUAGAUAUCACGCAGAACUCCGAUUGCGAAGGCAGCUUACUAAGCCAUAACUGACACUGAAGCACGAAAGCGUGGGUAUCGAACAGG
rnacentral:rRNA from 1 species